rnacentral:rRNA from 1 species
CUACCACGCGAGUGGAUGCCAAUCCCAAAACCUCUCUCAGUUCGGACUGGAGUCUGCAACCCGACUCCACGAAGCUGGAUUCGCUAGUAAUCGCGCAUCAGCCACGGCGCGGUGAAUACGUUCCCGGGCCUUGUACACACCGCCCGUCAAGCCAUGGGAGCCGGGGGUACCUGAAGUGCGUAACCGCGAGGAGCGCCCUAGGGUAAAACUGGUGACUGGGGCUAAGUCGUAACAAGGUAAC